rnacentral:rRNA from 1 species
CAGCAGCCACGGUAAAACGUAGGGGGCGGGCGUUGUCCGAAGUUACUGGGCGUAAAGCGCGCGUAGGCGGCUUCUUAAGUCUGAGGUGAAAGGUUCAACGCUUAACGUGAACAGUGCCUUGGAUACUGGGGAGCUUGAGUAUGGGAGAGGGCAGUGGAAUGGCUGGUGUAGCGGUGAAAUGCGUAGAUAUCAGUCGGAACACCCAUGGCGAAGGCAGCUGCCUGGCCUAAUACUGACGCUGAGGUGCGAAAGCGUGGGGAGCGAACGGGAUUAGAUACCCCAGUAGUCCCUGUCUCUUAUA